GGGCCGAUGGCGGAAGGUUAACGACUGCAACUCGAGAGGUCGCGGGUUCGAGUCCCGCCAGGUCCA
rnacentral:tRNA from 1 species